GACAGAGGCCCCAAGCGUUAGGCGGAAUCACUGGGCUUAAAGCGUGUGUAGGCGGAUCGUUAAGUGUCUUGUGAAAUCCCACGGCUCACCCGUGGAACUGCUGGGCAUACUGGCGAUCUUGGGCCAACUAGGGGCAGCCGGAACAAGCGGUGGAGCGGUGAAAUGCGUAGAUAUCGUUUGGAACGCCAAUGGUGAAAACAGACAGCUGGGAGUGUGCUGACGCUGAGACACGAAAGCCAGGGGAGCGAACGGG
rnacentral:rRNA from 1 species